ACGGACGUCACGCGUACAGAAUUUAACCGUUAAUUAUAUGGCUUUAGCAGUGGGUUCGUGCUUGAAAACAAGAUCGCCCACUCGAUACAGUUUCACGUUCGUAAACGAGAACGGCUGUCGCCAUCUAUAACGGCUCUAUUUAUUUUCCGUGGGCGUUCGUCAAUUUUUCUGUUCAGAUAUAGGUAAUGAGAACCAUAUUGGUUUUAUAGCAAUAAUUUUAUGCAACAACGGUCCCUACUUGUUAGAUAGUUAAAAGCGAAAAGCGUAGUGUGAAAUAUGAUCAUGUAGUGGCCUCGUAUUUUUGGCAGAGUGGAGCGGACUGUCAAAAAUGUGCCUAUAUAUAAUGAAAAUUAAAAAAACAAAUGACUUAUUGUACGAAUUUGAGCCUAAAUAAUGUAAGUACAUGUGUAGGUUUAUGAAAGAUAAAAAUUGAGAUGCUUGUACCUGUGAAAUGUGCGUUGGUAAAAUAUAUCCU